rnacentral:rRNA from 1 species
UUGGAGACUAGAAUGAAUGGUUUAAUUAAUUGGUUUAGUUUGUUUUAUUAUAUAGUAAAUUAAAGAUAAAGUAAAAAUUCUUUAAUAUAUUAGGGGACGAUAAGACCCUAAAAGCUUAAUAAUAAGUAGAUUUAUGGUGUUUUGUGAGAACUUAAUUAACUGGGGUAGUUUAUUUAAGUAAAUUAAAUAAUUAUUAAAGAUCCUUUAAAUAAAGAAUUUUUGUACAAGUUACUUUAGGGAUAACAGUGUAAUAUAUUUGGAGAGACCAGAUCUAUAAAUAUGUUUUCAACCUCGAUGUUGAAUUAGGAUUUCUAUGCGAGCAGAAUAUGUGUUAGAAAGUUUGUUCAACUUUUAAUUUUCUACAUGAUCUGAGUUCAAACCGG